UCAGGGUACAAGCUGUCUACAUCACACUGUGGGUGAACACUUGGUGGUCAGGGUACAAGCUGUCUAUAUCACACUGUGGAUGAUUCAAGUGACCCUAAGGAGAAUGGGAAGGGGGAAAGGAGAUCUUGCCGGUUCCAAUUUAUUAACUGCAGUGUGCAGAUAUUGUAAAAAAAUAAAUCAUUUUGAAUG